UACGUAGGGACCGAGCGUUGUCCGGAAUCAUUGGGCGUAAAGAGCGUGUAGGCGGCCACUUAAGUCCUGCGUGAAAUCUUGCGGCUCAACCGCAAGCGGUCGUGGGAAACUGGGUGGCUAGAGUGCGGGAGAGGAGAGUGGAAUUCCUGGUGUAGCGGUGGAAUGCGCAGAUAUCAGGAAGAACACCCGUGGCGAAGGCGGCCCUCUGGAACGCAACUGACGCUGAGACGCGAAAGCGUGGGGAGCAAACAGG
rnacentral:rRNA from 1 species